UCAUUUGUCUCUUAAUUAGGGACUAGAAUGAAAGGUUAGACUAUGUAACUUUGUCUCUUUUUAAUAUUUUGAAUUUUAUAUUUUAGUAAAAAAGCUAAAAUUUUUCUCAAAGACAAGAAGACCCUAUCAAGCUUAACAAUUAAAUUUUAUUUUCAAACUAAAACUAAAAUUGUUURACUGGGGCAGUAAAUAAAAAAUUUUUAUUUAAAUAUUAUGAAAAAUAAAUCUUGAAAAAUCAAAAAAUUUUUAAGAAAAADUAAGUUACUGUAGGGAUAACAGCAUAAUUUUUUUAAAGAGUUCUUGUCAUCAAAAAAGUUUGUGACCUCGAUGUUGGAUUAAAAUUCCUAGUUUWUGCAGU
rnacentral:rRNA from 1 species